rnacentral:rRNA from 1 species
AUGCUUAACACAUGCAAGUCGAACGAGGUGCUUUUGUAGCAAUACGAGAGUAUCCUAGUGGCGAACGGGUGAGUAACGCGUUGGUGACCUACCCCAAAGUGUGGGAUAACAGUCCGAAAGGAUUGCUAACACCGCAUGUGGUCAUCGGGUUUAGAAACCGGUGUCUAAAGGAGCAAUUCGCUUUGGGAGGGACCUGCGUCCCAUCAGCUAGUUGGUGAGGUAAUGGCUCACCAAGGCAACGACGGGUAGGGGACCUGAGAGGGUGGCCCCCCACAAUGGAACUGAAACACGGUUCAUACACCUACGGGUGGCAGCAGUAGGGAAUAUUGCACAAUGGGCGAAAGCCUGAUGCAGCAACACCGCGUGUGCGAUGAAGGCCUUCGGGUCGUAAAGCACUUUUCUGAGAGAUGAGAAAGGACAGUAUCUCAGGAAUAAGUCUCGGCUAACUACGUGCCAGCAGCCGCGGUAAAACGUAGGAGGCAAGCGUUAUCCGGAUUCACUGGGCGUAAAGCGCGUGCAGGCGGUUCGGUAAGUUGGGCGUGAAAUCUCCCGGCUCAACUGGGAGAGGUCGUUCAAUACUACCGGACUUGAGAGCAGAAGAGGAAAGUGGAAUUCCCGGUGUAGUGGUGAAAUGCGUAGAUAUCUGAAGGAACACCAGUGG